rnacentral:rRNA from 1 species
UACGGAGGAUGCAAGCGUUAUCCGGAUUCAUUGGGUUUAAAGGGUGCGCAGGCGGAUUGGUAAGUCAGUGGUGAAAUUCUAGUGCUUAACAUUAGACCUGCCAUUGAUACUGUCAGUCUAGAGUAUAGUUGGAGUGGGCGGAAUGUGUCAUGUAGCGGUGAAAUGCUUAGAUAUGACACAGAACACCGAUCGCGAAGGCAGCUCACUAAGCUAAAACUGACGCUCAUGCACGAAAGCGUGGGGAUCAAACAGG